ACUUGCGUGUACUUUUCUGCCAGUAUGUUAUAUAUUUGAGUGAAACAUUUAUUUAAAAAUAAUUAGAUUUUUUUUCCCCUCUGGGGUUUACUUAGGUUGGAUUCAGAUGCCGAGGACACAGUACUUCCUCAGAAAGAAGACAGAAUUUGCAAAAGAGACCAGAUAAUAAGCAUUUAAGCUCUAGUCAAUCCCAUAGAAGCGAUCCAAAUUCUGAGUCUUUAUAUUUUGAGGAUGAAGAUGGGUUUCAAGAACUAAAUGAGAAUGGAAAUGCUAAGGAUGAGAAUAUUCAACAAAAACUUUCUUCUAAAGUAUUGGAUGAUUUACCUGAAAACUCACCAAUCAAUAUAGUUCAGACUCCAAUUCCUAUUACCACCUCAGUUCCCAAACGUGCAAAAAGUCAGAAGAAGAAA
rnacentral:lncRNA from 1 species